CCUCUUUGAAUCUCGCGGGCGCCAUGAUGACACUCACUGCCAUUCUGCUGCAAUUUUCCGGAGGAGACUUGCACUGUCAGUGUAUUCAAGUUUCACACUGUGCCCUUCAUAUGGGACCAUACAGACAAAGUGUUUCUGUUUGCUGUGGAAACGAGAAAUUGGAAAGAUGAAUAUCAGAAUGUCAGAAGAAACUUGAAAAAAUGCCCUAACAAACAAAAUAACAAGAAGAGAGGCAGAAAAGGCUGUGUCAAAGUGGCUAAUUGGUGCCGGGAAAAGGGAGGAAAUCGCACUGCAAGGGCACAUGUUGGAGAACAAAUGGGGUAAGUCUUAAGAUUUACAUUUUAAAUGAAAAUCACAGUUCACUUAAAAUAUUAUAAGGAACCCAAGUUCAUUCUACUGAAUAAAAUGAGCAAGAGACGUGGGUAGCAAAAUAGAGUUUGUUUAUUUGUACAAAAGGUUAAAAUGCAGAGAUAAAAGUAGUCAUCACCCAGCCAAUUACUGAAGCUGGAAAUCACAAUUCACAAUAAGAAUUCACAAUUAAUUCAGAGCUGCAGCCUGUUGGCAUCAGAUGGGCUAAAGAGAGGGAGCAAAAGAAGAGAAUCACACGCAAAGAUUUUGAGAAGGUAAUUCAUGCCUUUAUAACGUCUCGAUUGGAUUACUGCAACGCCCUUUAUGUAGGUUUAGAUCAGUCAUCUCUUAAACGUUUGCAGUUGGUUCAAAAUGCAGCAGCUCGGCUUUUAACCAGGACAAGGAAACGGGAGCAUAUUACCCCAGUUUUGGCUUCGCUGCAUUGGCUUCCAGUUAGUUUUAGAAUUGAUUUUAAAAUUGUAUUGUUUGUGUUUAAGAUUUUAAAGGGAAGGGCCAACCCAUC